GCCGGCAUAGCUCAGUUGGUAGAGCAACUGAUUUGUAAUCAGUAGGUCCCGGGUUCGACUCCUGGUGCCGGCA
rfam:Rhodanobacter sp. Soil772 contig_5, whole genome shotgun sequence.